AACCAUAAUCAAAUUAUAGGUGCCUAUUUAAUUACCGUAGUUAUAAUUACCUACUUCAUAGAAAGAGAACGUUCAAAUUCUUCCUGAAUAUUGAAAAUAUUGCGUUCAACUAAAAACAUUGUUAUACACAUGCAAUAUUGUUAUAAUUAAAUUCACAUUACCGAACAUGAAUCGUUCUUACAACCAAGCAUGGUUUACGGUUU